UAAGUCUUAUUUCAAAAGCCUUGCACUUAAUUUGGUUUAUGUAGCCAACUUGUAAUAUGUUAGACUUGUAAAUAUGCUAAGACAUCCAAAAAUCUUAUUAGGCUAAUGGAGAUUUGCUAGCAUCUGAAGAAGAGCAAAGCCUAUUACACAUUAAACUAUUAUUCAAGUGUGAGCUUUUCUCUUCGGUGAGAUUAGAAAAGUAAUUUGCUGUACUCUCUGUAGCUUUACCAAGGAUAGAGCAGCUAAACUUAGGUAUGUGUUUUGCUCUCUGAUGGUAUUCCUAGUGUAAAAUAAUCAGUGUCAUGUAUACUACUGGAAGGCAGCAUACAUUUUCCUGUGGGGUUGUAGGGAUAUUUUAAAUAGGGAAAAUAAAACCUUGAUAUAUUUAACAAUAUCUGUGGAACAAAUCUUUGAUACUUUUGCAAAAUUGUCCAUUCAAUAGCAUUUCGUUUGAAAGUGCCCAUAUUCCAAUAAAAUGCAUCAAAACCGGCCUAAACAGUUUAUUGAAAGUAGAAUUUGGUUUCCAAAUUGUAAACAUGCUGCUGAGAUUUUUAUUUUGGUAAACGUUGAUGAUAGUAAAAAGAGAAGCAAGUUAAAUUUUCCUUGAUUCUCAGAGAGUGGGGAACGAGCGUAUUUUUAAGUUUUUUUAAAAAAAAUUGUAAGUCGUGUUUAAAAUUUGAAAGAUUACCGAGAUUUGUGACUGAGAUCUAGCAUGUUUAGUGCAAGAGGUUUGAGAGCUGACAUUACACAAGCAUAAAUGGACAAGCUUAACUGUGACCAACUAUAAUAAUAAUGGCAGUUGCGCUAGUUAUCCUCAAGCAUCAGGCACCCACUGGAUUUGGCUGUUGCACUACACUGCUAAUGAGACUCCUACAAGCAGACUGGCUUGUCACGUGAGCAGGUUGCCACAAUUGGAUAUCUCCCUUUUUAAAAAACAACACCAACACUACUUUGAGCAACAGACAAGAUCACUGGGGAAGGGCAAUGGCAGUCACUCCUGGUUUCUUGGAUUUGGCAUACAUUUAUUAAAAGCAUUUCAACCCAGUACUUUAUAACUUCAACCCAAGAUCAGGAGGUAUGGUUUUCAGGUGUGUUUUUUUAAAAACCAUGUUCUGUUUUUAAACUCCUAUAUCAGAAGGCUUCCCAUAUAAAUCCCCAAAUAGUAUUGUGAUCAGCCUCCCGCUCCUGAUUCGUAACUAUUUUUUUAAAUAUUAAAAAAAAGAUCAUUUAUGUCCUAGAAGAGAAGUAUUGAUACAGUCUUUAGUAUUUCUUUUGGCUUUUGUAUAGAAAACACAGUUAUUAAAAUGUUCUCUCUUCCAUUCCGCCAUCCCCCCACACCACAAAAGUAUGAGUAAUCCACAGUUUCCAGCUGUCUUAAAUAUAGCCAACUUUUAUUUUUUACACUGUAUGGAAAUUCAGCUAAAACUGAAGGCAUUUGUAAAAUAACCAACAGAGAAGAACCAGGAAUCCAAAUAUUUUAAGGCUCCUUAAAAUACCAAAUUGAAUUAUGACCCAGAGCAAAUGUGAAAUUGGCAGAGAACAGGUAUAUCUGUGUCACAGUUCUAUUUGAGUAUUGGACUAGUGUUUGUUAGUUUUGCUCUGAGGUAGAAUAAUAAAACUUAGUCAGACUUUUGCCUAAAACACUCUCAACUGAGAAUGUGAAUGUGUAGCCUGACUCUUGCAUAACAGUAAUGCUAUGAUAAGUUUUUGUGUAUUUGUUUUGUGUGGUGGCGCAACUAUUCAGGCAUUAGAUGAACAUGCACAUGGAGUGUACAAUGGUUCUGUCUUAUAGUGCAGUUAUUUGAGCUAGGCUUGGUAUACGUUGCAAGGAAAGCACAUUACAGUAGUCUUCAAUAAACAUUCAAACAAUAUUAAAGUAUCUGUGAAAUUAAGAUAUUAUUUUAGAACAGCCUUCCUCAACCUGGUUCCCUUCAGAUGUUUUAGAGUACACGUCCCAUCAUUCCUGAUGAUUGGCUUUGCUUUUCUGGAGCUGACAAGAAUUGUAGGCCUCAACAUCUAGAAGGCACCAGGUUGAGGAAAUGUUCUAGAAGAAAAGGUGCCUUUCUGUAUCCAAAUUCAUUCUCCUGUUAUUUUUUAUUAUGCUAGCUGGCUUACACAUAAGAAUUAGUAGCAGAUAAGGACAAAAGCCAUUUUUCCUAGUGUCUAGUAUAAUCCAGCUGCUGUUUAAGAACUUUUAAUACAACACAGUUGCAUCCAGACAAAUUAUCAAAAUAAAUUAAUGUAUCUUUAUUUCCCAGUGAAUUCUCUUCAUUCAGCUACCGUAACAACAGUGUGAGAGCCUUUCCUCACAUGUCCGCUUGUGUCUGCUCACACAAACUCACUUAUCAAUAUUCUGCAUUAUAGAAUAAAAGUACCAUGAAAACAAAACUGACCAGUUUGUUAACAAAAUCCUUAAAUGAAUUUUAUAUGUUAGCUGAACACAGUUCCAUUUACUUUUAAGAGUAAUGAAUAAAAGUUGACGUCACUCGCUUCAGCGUAGCGGUGUAGAAGAUUUGCCCACUCCUAUGAAGUUAACCAUUAAAUGAGCACUGCUUCUGGAAAAUGUCAAUUAAGUUCAUUCAGCCAAAUAAAGGUGACCAAGCUCUCUUAAACAAGCUGCUGCAAUACAGUACCAUUGCUUCUUGUGGCUGUUCAUAGAGCAUGCUUACUGAAUGUAUAGCUAAAUAGUUGUACACAGUUGUUGUUUGCUAAGACAUUGCUCAACACAGGACUUUUCAGUUACCUCUCUUGGUCAGUUAAUUACAAAUUAUAAUACGGUGUUUGCUUUACUUUUUUUUUUUUGAAGAGUCCGGUCUUUUGGGGUUUUGGUCAGGAAUGGGGAACCUGUGGCCCUCCAGAUGUUGUUGAACUACAACUCCCAUCAACCCUGGCCAAAUUCCAGCAUGACCAAUGAUCAGGAAUGAUGACAGUCUGGAGAGCCACAGGUUCCCCAUACCUGUUUUUAGACAGUGCUUAUAUUAAUUUUAAGCUGCUCAGUGCAUGCCCAUUGUUAAAUUGCUUUAAGGUCUUCCUUUAUUUCUUUAUGCUGGAUUGCCCUUUUGGUUUUCGCUCCGGGGGGGACGGAUAUGAAAAUAUUUAAUCUCCCAUUCUGAAACGGUUGUUAGACCAUUGUUAGAUUUUGUCCAGGAUGUUCAUUUGCUCAUUUAUUUGCUAGAUUAUCCGAGACAUGCAUUUUUAACUCUCAUCAUAUUCCAGCAUAACCAUUAUCUUAAAAUGUGCUUUAAAAAAAACAACAAACCACAAAAAUUUAGUCCACAGGACAUAAUGUGGAAAAUACAUCAUGUGGGGGUUAUUAUUUUUGAAGAGUCGGUAAAAUGCAUGGUGGCUUAAGAAAUGUAUGGAGCAUCACAAUUUAAUAUUUGCAAAUAGAAUCACCUGAGAUGUGUGCUAAUUCUAAGAUUGCAAAAUAUACAUUGCUGUAAUGAAUUCUAGUGGGAGGACUUAGAGUUUGUAAGUGGCGGGAAAUCUACCCCCUUUAGAUUCUUUUUCUCCAACCUCAGUGUUAGAAGAAUUAAAGUGAAGGACAUACUAAUUCCAUAGUAGUACAUUUUGACCUAUAAAUUCAGGUUCUCUGGAGUGGGGGGGGGAAUGCCAAAUAGAGAUCUUCAGGGGGAAAUAGCUUUGGCUUUUUAAUAUAUUUAGAAAUCCAGGACUGCUGAGAUCUCCACUGUCGAAAUAUUGAAUAAGAAUUGUAGAUGAAAAAAUAGGGGAGAGGAUGCCUCUUGGAGAGGUUAAUAGCUUUGGGAAAGUCAAGGUAAACCCAAAAGAUCUAAUUAAAAAGGCAGAUUUCUUGGCUUUUGAAGCAUUGUAAGUAAAGAUUACCCACUUUCACUAUCCCUUUUUUAGAAAAUCUCAGAUGCGCAAACUUAAAAUCAACCUUGCUUUCUGUUAUGAAAAAGAUGUUAUGUAAAUCUUUGAAUUAAAACUGAUUUUGAAAAUAUGUUGGGUAUUUGAAGAUUUCAUUCCAAGUUAAUAAACCAUCUGUAAAGUGUUUAUAGAACUCUUUGUAUCAUGUUGUGCUUACACCGUAUCAGAUUGUUUUCAGGCAUGUAUUCCAUUUUUAACUCCUGUAUAAUUUUUAUUGUUUAUGUAAAUAGUAUGAGAAAGAGAGAAAGAAAUGAUCCUAUGUUUAAUCUUUAAUUAUCAGCAUGGGAAUUAUUCAUUUUUACUGAGCACAAUGUAUUUUUGAAUGGGCCUUCCAAAACAUGUCUUUAAUAAAAAUGCAGGUUUUGCACUAG